rnacentral:pre_miRNA from 1 species
UCUAGCAGAUCAGCUUUUUGUUUGUGUUAUGUUCCUACUAAAAUGUAAGACGAACAAAAAGUUUGUCUGUUAGAUG